UUAUUAAAAACAUGUCCUUUUGAAUAUAAUUUAAGGUCGAGCCUGCCCAAUGAUUAAUUAAAUGGCCGCGGUAUAUUGACCGUGCAAAGGUAGCAUAAUCAUUAGUUUUUUAAUUGAAAGCUUGCAUGAAGGGUUUAAUGAGAAAAAUACUGUCUCUAUUUAAAUUUAUUAGAAUUUUAUAUUUAAGUUAAAAAGCUUAAAUUAUUGUUGAAGACGAGAAGACCCUAUAGAGUUUAAUAUUUUAUUUAGUUAGACGUUAUUAGGAAUUUUAAGUGCUUAUUAUUUAAAGUAUUUAAUUGGGGUGAUUAAAAAAUUAACUAAACUUUUUUUUGUAUUUUUACAUUUAUUUAUGAAUUACUGAUCCUUUAUUUAAGAUUAAAAGAUAUAAUUACCUUAGGGAUAACAGCGUAAUUUUUUUUAGAGUUCUUAUCAAAAAAAAAGAUUGCGACCUCGAUGUUGGAUUAAAAUAAAUUAUUGGUGUAGAAGCUAAUAAAUUAGGUCUGUUCGACCUUUAAAUUUUUACAUGAUCUGAGUUUAAACCGGUGUAAGCCAGGUCGGUUU
rnacentral:rRNA from 1 species